GAUGAACGCUGGCGGCGUGCCUAAUACAUGCAAGUAGAACGCUGAAGGAGGAGCUUGCUCUUCUGGAUGAGUUGCGAACGGGUGAGUAACGCGUAGGUAACCUGCCUGGUAGCGGGGGAUAACUAUUGGAAACGAUAGCUAAUACCGCAUGACAACAGUUAUUGCAUGAUAACUGUUUAAAAGGGGCAACUGCUCCACUACCAGAUGGACCUGCGUUGUAUUAGCUAGUUGGUGAGGUAACGGCUCACCAAGGCGACGAUACAUAGCCGACCUGAGAGGGGGAUCGGCCACACUGGGACUGAGACACGGCCCAGACUCCUACGGGAGGCAGCAGUAGGGAAUCUUCGGCUAUGGACGGAAGUCUGACCGAGCAACGCCGCGUGAGUGAAGAAGGUUUUCGGAUCGUAAAGCUCUGUUGUAAGAGAAGAACGAGUGUGAGAGUGGAAAGUUCACACUGUGACGGUAUCUUACCAGAAAGGGACGGCUAACUACGUG
rnacentral:rRNA from 1 species